GAGCUACUUGGUUAUUCACCCAGAUCUGACACCUGACACAUGGGAGAGCUGGGAUUGGAGUGUAGGUUUUGUCAGAUUCUAAGCAUGUGCUUGUGACCACAGAACUCAGCCCUAAGAUUCCACUUCUGUGUUCUAAUUAUGUGAAGCGACUUCAAAAACUGUGGAAAAUGGAACUAACCUGGUACAUGGCCUUUGGGGAAUACGGAAGGGAUCAGGCGUAAACCCCUGAAGAUAUCCCCUGCGCCUGAGGAUCAAGGGAUUGCAGCAAAGGAUGACACUGUAACUGGAAGUGAAAGAAAGCCUGGCAGAAGCACAGAGCUGACGGGGAGCUAAGAAGAGGCAUGGGGACAGGUCUGAGUGGCGGUAUAGAGGAAUCAUCUCUAUUUUGGUCAGGUUCUGAGGCACAAGAAGAGGCUGUUAUUCAGUUUUUUUCUUUUCUGUCACAUAAUCAACACAGAAAGACACAAAUAAAAGGACCUACUUGUCUGCA